rnacentral:rRNA from 1 species
GACGAACGCUGGCGGCGUGCUUAACACAUGCAAGUCGAACGGAAAGGCCCUGCUUUUGUGGGGUGCUCGAGUGGCGAACGGGUGAGUAACACGUGAGUAACCUGCCCUUGACUUUGGGAUAACUUCAGGAAACUGGGGCUAAUACCGGAUAGGAGCUCCUGCUGCAUGGUGGGGGUUGGAAAGUUUCGGCGGUUGGGGAUGGACUCGCGGCUUAUCAGCUUGUUGGUGGGGUAGUGGCUUACCAAGGCUUUGACGGGUAGCCGGCCUGAGAGGGUGACCGGCCACAUUGGGACUGAGAUACGGCCCAGACUCCUACGGGAGGCAGCAGUGGGGAAUAUUGCACAAUGGGCGGAAGCCUGAUGCAGCAACGCCGCGUGCGGGAUGACGGCCUUCGGGUUGUAAACCGCUUUCGCCUGUGACGAAGCGUGAGUGACGGUAAUGGGUAAAGAAGCACCGGCUAACUACGUGCCAGCAGCCGCGGUGAUACGUAGGGUGCGAGCGUUGUCCGGAUUUAUUGGGCGUAAAGGGCUCGUAGGUGGUUGAUCGCGUCGGAAGUGUAAUCUUGGGGCUUAACCCUGAGCGUGCUUUCGAUACGGGUUGACUUGAGGAAGGUAGGGGAGAAUGGAAUUCCUGGUGGAGCGGUGGAAUGCGCAGAUAUCAGGAGGAACACCAGUGGCGAAGGCGGUUCUCUGGGCCUUUCCUGACGCUGAGGAGCGAAAGCGUGGGGAGCGAACAGGCUUAGAUACCCUGGUAGUCCACGCUGUAAACGGUGGGUACUAGGUGUGGGGUCCAUUCCACGGGUUCCGUGCCGUAGCUAACGCUUUAAGUACCCCGCCUGGGGAGUACGGCCGCAAGGCUAAAACUCAAAGGAAUUGACGGGGCCCCGCACAAGCGGCGGAGCAUGCGGAUUAAUUCGAUGCAACGCGUAGAACCUUACCUGGGUUUGACAUGGAUCGGGAGUGCUCAGAGAUGGGUGUGCCUCUUUUGGGGUCGGUUCACAGGUGGUGCAUGGCUGUCGUCAGCUCGUGUCGUGAGAUGUUGGGUUAAGUCCCGCAACGAGCGCAACCCUUGUUCACUGUUGCCAGCACGUUAUGGUGGGGACUCAGUGGAGACCGCCGGGGUCAACUCGGAGGAAGGUGGGGAUGACGUCAAGUCAUCAUGCCCCUUAUGUCCAGGGCUUCACGCAUGCUACAAUGGCUGGUACAGAGAGUGGCGAGCCUGUGAGGGUGAGCGAAUCUCGGAAAGUCGGUCUCAGUUCGGAUUGGGGUCUGCAACUCGACCUCAUGAAGUCGGAGUCGCUAGUAAUCGCAGAUCAGCAACGCUGCGGGGAAUACGUUCCCGGGGCU